GUGUGUGUGUGUGUGUGUCUGCGUGUGUCUGUGAGAGAGAGAGAGAAAGAGAGAGAAGAGGAAAGUAGGGAAUGGCUAGCUGUGCACCUCUUCCCUUUCCACAGUUUUCCUAGCCAUCUAGAUAUCUUACAAAUUUUUGGCAGAAGAUAUGUUCCAAUUCACAUUCCACCCCUUCCAUUUCUCACCCAAAGAGUCAUUACGAGUCAAUGGUAAGCUAAAAUGAUGACUAAAAAAGAAAUGUAUUCUGUGUCUUAGAAAUAAAGGCACAAAAUAAAUUUUAUUCUGUUUUCAGCAAACUAUACUGGAAUUCUAACAUCUGUUAACUGUCUUUUAGGUUUUUAAAAAAUUCGAUUAGGAGUGGUGUUCUGGGAAUUAGAGAGAUUAUAUUGUAAUGGAGUUAGAAUUAUCUAGACAGACAAUUGAGGAAAGGGCAUUCCAGGUUGAAUUACAAAGGCAUGAAGGUGAAAGAGAGGGUGACGCCUUUGGAGAUUAUAGGUAGUUUCAUUUGGCUAAAACUCAAAGAUGGUAGGAGAUGAAAUUUGAGAGAUAAGCAGCAGCAAAUUGGUGAAGUACCACAUAUGCCAUGCUAAAAAAAAUUGGAUUUUAUCCUGAAGAUGAAUGGAAAGAUGAUGAAAACAUAUUAAAAAGGAUGAAAAGCCUGACUGCAGUGUGAAACAAGGAUGGUUUCCCGGGAGGAAAGGAGACUAAAGACAGAGAAUACCGGCUGUUGCUGUAGUCCAGAAGAGAAGAUAGGAAGGAAAACUGAAAAGACUUGAUGAUCAAUUAAGUGUUUAUGUUUAGCAUAGAGAUAGGAAACUUUAUUAACUUUCAAAGGCUUGGGUCUUUGGACGAUGGUGCUGUUAAUCAUCUAGAAAAAGAAUAUAAAAGGAAGAGCUGUUAUUCAUCUAGGAAAAAGAAUACAAAAGUUUUGGCUGGAGGAGUGGGAAAAUAGAAAUGAGUUAGUUGGUGAAUGUUGAGUUUAAGGAACCCUAAAUACAAUUGAGAAUGUUUAGUAGGCAAUUGAUUAAAUAGACCUGGAGCUUAGGAAAAAGCCUGGUCUAGAGAAUUAGUUCAUCAACCAAUCAACUCAAUAUCAAAUAAUCUCAACUAAAUAACUAAUAGAGUUAUUCAACUAAAUGAUAGCUGAAGUCAUGGUUGUACCACUAAGAACUUACUGUGGUCUUACUGUGUGCCAGGCAUUUCACACAUCUGAACUCGUUCACUCUCCUUCCAACCCUAUGAAGUAGGUACUAUUAUUAGUCCCAUUUUAUAAAUGGGGGGAACAUCAGAGAUGCCAGGUAACCUGCCCCAAAUCACACACACAGCCAGAAAAUGGCAAGAACCCUGGCAGUGUAUUUCUAGUGUCUUUGUUUCCCACCAUUAUGCUGUACUGCCCCUUAGAAUAGAUUAUAGAGUUCAUGAUAGGACUGAGAGCAGAAUCAUUUAAGGGUUGGGUUGAGAACUGGGAAGGAAACUGACAAGAGGUAGGCAAAGAAGUAGGGGAAAAAUUAGGAGAGUGUCAUCAUGGAAGUUAAAGGAAGAGUAUUUCAAGAGAAUGGAGGUGAGUGGAAGGCUGCUGAUGACAGCAGUGUUGGAAGAACCACACAUGCACACCCUGAUAUGAAGGUAGGCAGAGCAAAGUGAAAGUCAAUACAACCAGAAGCAGUUCCAGCCCUGACAGAGGUCAAAUCUCUGCUUGGUCUCUAUUUCACUGAAGCUGGAGCAAGUGGCAUGGACUUCAGGAAGGGAGAUGAGAGGUGUGUGUGCAAUGGACUGCACAUUUCCUUUGCAUAUUUAUAGUCUGCUAUGAGUCUUACUAAAUAAAGAUGAUGCCAUACACAGAUGGAGUUAAUUUGUUUGCAUGAUUUAAAUGUAUAGAAAUAUGUGAAUAUGAGGAGGAAAAUGGAAACUAGCCUUUAUUCCACUUUAAGAGCUAUCCGUCCUGUUUACCUCAGGUAGAUCUAAACCAGAGGUAUGGUGCCAAGGCAAAUCAACAUUCCAUGUAGAUGGAUCCUCUCUUUACUCUGUUUUACUCUUAUUUCCCUGUGUGUCUAAUUCUGUCUAAAUUUCCCUUAUUGUGUUGCUCAUUUUUUCUCCUUGUUUCUGAAUUCAUAGCUGCUCAAAAUAGUUGAUUCAUUUUUAUAUUCAGCAACACUGAGAUCCAUACAAUAUGCUUGGCGUUGUGCUUAUGAAUGCUGGCUGUAAGUGGCACACAGCAGCUCUUGGUAAUUAUCUAAUUGUCUCUGGAUCAUGUUCUGAGCCACUUAGGAAAGUUUUCCCCUAAGAAGCACAUUUCGACCCUGGCCUCCAAAUCCCUUGUGUUUUCAAACAUGUGUUUAUUACUAGCUGGACUUCCUAUCAUUUCUAGGAAGAAUUAUUAAACAUUAUCGAACUUAUAAUUGCUUGUCAUUCAUCCUGAUGUCCAUUACAUGGAGUUGUCCAUUUGAGAAGGAGUUGAAUUGCAAACCAAGGCCUGCAAUCACAGAGUCUGCCUUUGUGGCUUUUAAUUUGUGGCCCAAAUCUGAAACCACUCUUAGUUUUCCUGUACGUGGAGCCUUAAGGCCUUUUUGUUUUCUUUCCUGAUGGGCUGUUACUCAGACCUCUUAUGGAACCCACUUUAUGUAGCUUUGAAGACCACCCUGUUUCUUUGAGACGGCCUCAGGAGCCUCCCAAAGUAAACCUUUUAUGUGACAUAGAGCUUCUAUUUUAAGUAAAACCAUAAAAAUGUAAUGUACACAUUUCCAGAAAAUAAGUCCAGCUAUGUAUUUUUAUGUGAUGAUGAUGACGAUGGUGGUGAGGAUGAUGAUGAUAAUGAUGAUGUGUGUGUUUAUUUCUAAAGGUAUAUGUUGUCACUCUUAGGUGCAAUCAGGUUUGUUAGAAAUAGAAAAUCCUCACAAAUUAGUGAUAAGACCGAUUCAUGAAUAGAGAAACAUUUUAUACAGAAUUUAAGCAAUUACAUUCAAAGUACUGAAAUUAAAUUUGUAAAGGGAUCUAAUUAGUAUUUUUUUUAAAAAAGAAAAAACCUCCCAAAAUUGAAAAAUAAAGAAAAACACCAAAAACAGCCAAAUCCUUCCAAUCAGAUGAAGUCUCAAGAGAUGUCUCAGAUACAAAUAAUUUCAAAUAUCAGACAUCUUAAGCUUGUGAGAAAAAAAAAAGGAACGUGCGUUAGUUCUUCCUCUGAUGUCCACCUGGGAGCUCAUGCAUUCGCCCUAAUUUAGAAUCUGCUGCUCCUCUGUUCCAUGAUUGACCCCUUUCUCUCAUUUCCCUCAGGCUUGACUCCUUCUGGGCUCACCAAGGCUGGCAGUAUGGGGAGAAGCAGCAGCUGGUUUCAGCCUUCACAGCUCACAUCCUCCCAGGACAGAGGUCCUGAGUUAUUGCCCUAAUCUUCUCGAAGUUGUUUCACAGAGACAAGCAUCUGUGUUAGCAACAAGUCCAUCGUGGAUUCCUGCAGCCCUGCUGCAUGCACAUGAUCUUUGCUCCAGGAUCUGGGCUGAUGAGUCACUUCUCUGUAUCAUUGCUGACACGGUGGUAGAGGGAAAAAACCAAUGAAAUGUGAGUUGUCUCUACUCACAUUUCACUGCUGAGUUCCAAUCAUAUGGUCACAACCACCUGCCACAGAGUGGGAAUGUGUACUCCUCCUGCAGAGAUGGGUACCAUGUAUUUGUGAGCAAUGGUAACAGUUACCAAACAAUUCCCUCUGGACAAAAAUUACUUAAGUGGCAUAUAUUCGGUCUUAUCUCACUCAGGAACAACUGAAGAGUCAAGGAAUCAGCUCCUGAACAAUAUCUGCCAGUAAAGGGUUCUAAGGUGGGGUUUAGAUAGCAAGGUGGGCAGAGGAAAUGACUUCAGUGUUGCAGAGGAGAUGCACAUCCAGCCCUCCGUUCACACUGAACAAAGCUGACUUUCCCCAGUAACUUGUCAUUCAACCCUCGGGCUGAAAAGUGAAAACUCACCAUCUUUCCGUAAGUAGUUUGGUGCCUUACUGGGGAGUGAAUGUCCAGAUAUAAGAGCAUAAAAUAGAACAAGGCUGGGUGCGGUGGCUCAUACCUGUAAUCCCAGCACUUUGAAAGGCUGAGGUGGGAG